rnacentral:rRNA from 1 species
UCGAACGAACUCUGGUAUUGAUUGGUGCUUGCAUCAUGAUUUACAUUUGAGUGAGUGGCGAACUGGUGAGUAACACGUGGGAAACCUGCCCAGAAGCGGGGGAUAACACCUGGAAACAGAUGCUAAUACCGCAUAACAACUUGGACCGCAUGGUCCGAGUUUGAAAGAUGGCUUCGGCUAUCACUUUUGGAUGGUCCCGCGGCGUAUUAGCUAGAUGGUGGGGUAACGGCUCACCAUGGCAAUGAUACGUAGCCGACCUGAGAGGGUAAUCGGCCACAUUGGGACUGAGACACGGCCCAAACUCCUACGGGAGGCAGCAGUAGGGAAUCUUCCACAAUGGACGAAAGUCUGAUGGAGCAACGCCGCGUGAGUGAAGAAGGGUUUCGGCUCGUAAAACUCUGUUGUUAAAGAAGAACAUAUCUGAGAGUAACUGUUCAGGUAUUGACGGUAUUUAACCAGAAAGCCACGGCUAACUACGUGCCAGCAGCCGCGGUAAUACGUAGGUGGCAAGCGUUGUCCGGAUUUAUUGGGCGUAAAGCGAGCGCAGGCGGUUUUUUAAGUCUGAUGUGAAAGCCUUCGGCUCAACCGAAGAAGUGCAUCGGAAACUGGGAAACUUGAGUGCAGAAGAGGACAGUGGAACUCCAUGUGUAGCGGUGAAAUGCGUAGAUAUAUGGAAGAACACCAGUGGCGAAGGCGGCUGUCUGGUCUGUAACUGACGCUGAGGCUCGAAAGUAUGGGUAGCAAACAGGAUUAGAUACCCUGGUAGUCCAUACCGUAAACGAUGAAUGCUAAGUGUUGGAG